AAGUCGUAACAAGGUUUCCGUAGGUGAACCUGCGGAAGGAUCAUUACCUUUGGCUGCCGUGAGCGCUUCGGCGUGAGCGACAGUCAUUCUAUAGCGAUGCCUCCGUGUCCGGGAAACCGGCGCGGGGCUGACCUAACCCUUCUCUACGAGUACCUAUUAUUCUCCUUCGGCGGGGCAACCCGCCGCUGGAACUUAAGAACCAACUUGCAUUUAGCAUUACCUGUUCUGAUAACAAUUAAUUAUUACAACUUUCAACAAUGGAUCUCUUGGCUCUG
rnacentral:misc_RNA from 1 species